rnacentral:rRNA from 1 species
UACAGAGACUGCAAGCGUUAUUCGGAUUCACUGGGCGUAAAGGGUGCGCAGGCGGUCGUGUGUGUCAGGUGUGAAAGCCCGGAGCUUAACUCCGGAAUUGCGCCUGAAACUACAUGACUAGAGCAUUGGAGAGGGUAGCGGAAUUCACGGUGUAGCAGUGAAAUGCGUAGAUAUCGUGAGGAACACCAGAGGCGAAGGCGGCUACCUGGACAAUUGCUGACGCUCAGGCACGAAAGCGUGGGGAGCAAAAGGG